UUCGAUCAUGGCUCAGUUGAACGCUGGCGGGAUGCUGCCGCUAAGUCGGAGCGGCAGCACGGACUUCGGUCUGGUGGCGAGUGGCGAACGGGUGAGAGGUAAUGUAUCGGAACGUGCCUAGUAGCGGGGGAUAACUACGCGAAAGCGUAGCAGCUAAUACCGCAUACGCCCUUCGGGGAAAGCGGGGGACCUUCGGGCCUCGCACUGUGGAAGCGGCCGAUAUCGGAUUAGCUGAUUGGUGGGGUAACGGCUCACCAAGGCGACGAUCCGUAGCUGGUUUGAGAGGACGACCCAGCCACACUGGGACUGAGACACGGCCCAGACUCCUACGGGAGGGCAGCAGUGGGGAAUUUUGGACAAUGGGGGGAAACCUGAUCCAGCCAUCCCGCGUGUGCGAUGAAGGCCUUCGGGUUGUAAAGCACUUUUGGCAGGAAAGAAACGGCACGGGAUAAUACGUGCAACUGACCAGUACCUGCAGAAUAAGCACCGGCUAACUACGUGCCAGCAGCCGCGGCAAUACGUAGGGUGCAAGCGUUAAUCGGAAUUACUGGGCGUAAAGCGUGCGCAGUGAGUUCGGAAAGAAGAGUGAAAUCCCAGAGCUUAACUUUGGAACUGCAUUUUUAACUACCGAGCUAGAGUGUGUCAGAGGGAGGUGGAAUUCCGCGUAUUGUAGCAGUGAAAUGCGUAGAUAUGCGGAGGAACACCGAUGGCGAGGAAAGCGACCUCCUGGGAUAACACUGACAUGCACAGCAUUGGGGAGCAAAACAGGAUUAGAUACCCUGGUAAAAAUUUUGCCUAAACGAUGUCAAUAGCUGUUGGGGCCUUCGGGCCCCAGCUAACGUGAAGUUGACCGCCUGGAAGAAUACGGUCGCAAGAUUAAAACUCGAGGAAUUGACGGGGACGCACAAGCGGUGGAUGAUGUGGAUUAAUUCAUUACGCUUGCGAAAAACCUUACCUACCCUUGACAUGUCUGGAAUCCGAAAGAGAUUUGGGGAGUGCUCGCAAGGAAGAACCGGAACACACAGAGUGCUGCAUGGCUGUCGUCAGCUCGUGUCGUGAGAUGUUGGGUUAAGUCCCGCAACGGGCGCAACCCUUGUCAUUAGUUGCACUACGAAAAGGGCACUCUAAUGAGACUGCCGGUGAUCAAACCGGAGGAAGGUGGGGAUGACGUCAAGUCUCAUGGCCCUUAUGGGUAGGAACUACACGUCAUACAAUGGUCAGGACAGAGGUGCGCCAACCCGCGAGGAGCCAAUCCGAAGCCGAUCGUAGUCCGGAUCGCAGUCUGCAACUCGACUGCGUGAAGUCCGGAAUCGCUAGUAAUCGCGGAUCAGCAUGUCGCGGUGAAUACGUUCCCGGGUCUUGUACACACCGCCCGUCACACCAUGGGAGUGGGUUUUACCAGAAGUAGUUAGCCUAACCGUAAGGAGGCGAUUACCACGGUAGGAUUCAUGACUGGGGUGAAGUCGUAACAAGGUAG
rnacentral:rRNA from 1 species